CCCUUAGAUGUCCUGGGCCGCACGCGCGUUACACUGAUGCAUUCAACGAGCUUAUAACCUUGGCCGAGAGGCCUGGGCAAUCUUGUUAACGUGCAUCGUGAUAGGGAUAGAUUAUUGAAAUUAUUAAUCUUGAACGAGGAAUUCCUAGUAAACGCAGAUCAUCAAUCUGCAUUGAUUACGUCCCUGCCCUUUGUACACACCGCCCGUCGCACCUACCGAUUGGAUGGUCCGGUGAAGCCUCGGGAUUGUGGUUCUUGCCGCUUUAUUGUGGCGUGACCGCGAGAACUUGUCUAAACCUUAUCAUCGAGAGGAAGGUGAAGUCGUAACA
rnacentral:rRNA from 1 species